UACGUAGGGCGCAAGCGUUGUCCGGAAUUAUUGGGCGUAAAGAGCUCGUAGGCGGCCUGUUGCGUCCGCUGUGAAAUCCCGGGGCUCAACCCCGGGCCUGCAGUGGAUACGGGCUGGCUAGAGGCAGGCAGGGGAGAACGGAAUUCCUGGUGUAGCGGUGAGAUGCGCAGAUAUCAGGAGGAACACCGGUGGCGAAGGCGGUUCUCUGGGCCUGUACUGACGCUGAGGAGCGAAAGCGUGGGGAGCGAACAGG
rnacentral:rRNA from 1 species